rnacentral:rRNA from 1 species
GACGAACGCUGGCGGCGUGCUUAACACAUGCAAGUCGAACGGAAAGGCCCUGCUUUUGUGGGGUGCUCAAGUGGCGAACGGGUGAGUAACACGUGAGUAACCUGCCCUUGACUUUGGGAUAACUUCAGGAAACUGGGGCUAAUACCGGAUAGGAGCUCCUGCUGCAUGGUGGGGGUUGGAAAGUUUCGGCGGUUGGGGACGGACUCGCGGCUUAUCAGCUUGUUGGUGGGGUAGUGGCGUACCAAGGCUUUGACGGGUAGCCGGCCUGGGAGGGUGACCGGCCACAUUGGGACUGAGAUACGGCCCAGACUCCUACGGGAGGCAGCAGUGGGGAAUAUUGCACAAUGGGCGGAAGCCUGAUGCAGCAACGCCGCGUGCGGGAUGACGGCCUUCGGGUUGUAAACCGCUUUCGCCUGUGACGAAGCGUGAGUGACGGUAAUGGGUAAAGAAGCACCGGCUAACUACGUG